CAAGAAGGAUGGUAGUAACCCUUCAUGUGAACUAACAAGUGACCAAAAUAACAUGCUAGCCACCCAAAAAGAGGGGGCCCAAGACCUGUACCCUCAGAUGCAGGGAGGCCAUUUUCCCAAUAUAUAGA